rnacentral:rRNA from 1 species
CCCACUAUGCUUAGUAGUAAACCCAGACAGACCCUUAAAACAUUUGCCCGCCAGAAGACUACAAGUGAUAAGCUUGAAACUCAAAGGACUUGACGGUGCCCUAAACCACCCUAGAGGAGCCUGUCCUAUAAUCGAUAACCCCCGUUAUACCCAACCUGCCCUAGAUUUUAACCCAGCCUAUAUACCGCCGUCUUCAGCCCACCUCAUGAGAGAGACUUAAGCGGGCCCAAUAGCCCCCACUAAAACGCCAGGUCAAGGUGUAGCUCAUGGGCAGGAAAGAGAUGGGCUACAUUUUCUUAAACCAGAACCCUACCAACAGAGCCAAGAAAUCGGCACCACAAAGAAGGAUUUAGUAGUAAAUCGAACAAACUUGUUCAA